GACAGAAGGUGCAAACGUUGUUCGGAAUUACUGGGCGUAAAGCGCGUGUAGGCUGCUUCGCAAGUCGGGUGUGAAAGCCCUGGGCUCAACCUAGGAAGUGCACUCGAAACUGCGGAGCUUGAGUCUCGGAGAGGAUCGCGGAAUUCUCGGUGUAGAGGUGAAAUUCGUAGAUAUCGAGAGGAACACCGGUGGCGAAGGCGGCGAUCUGGACGAUGACUGACGCUGAGACGCGAAAGCGUGGGGAGCAAACAGG
rnacentral:rRNA from 1 species